rnacentral:lncRNA from 1 species
UUAAAAGUACAAGCUGUUUCAAGUACUCUGUGAUUUAGAAGAGAAAUAAACUCUGGUUAUAAAUUAUUUUUACCAAAUCACUGGACAGAACCUAUAUUUGAGCAAAGCUUUGCUAGAAUUUCAUUUUAAUUCACAUAUUAGUUACUUGAAAAUUGACUUUUUUUUGUUUUUUCCAGACGGAGUUUCGCUCGUCACCCAGGCUAGAGUGCAAUGGCGUGAUCUUGGUUCACUGCAACCUCUGCCUCCUGGGUUCAAGCGAUUCUCCUGUCUCAGGUUCCCGAGCAGCUGGGACUACAGGAGCCCACCACCUGGCUCAGCUAAUUUUUGUAUAUUUAGUAGAGACGGGGUGUCACCACGUUGG